UUGUUUCUGUGUUAUACUCUUCGCUCGAACUAUAUUUUUUCCUUGUGCUGACAAGAACAAUGGAUGGAAGAGAAACAAAUUUGAAGCACGGGUGGUCUCUUCAAAUGGGAAUAAAUAGAGGGACCAUGAAGAGACGGCAGAGAAACUUUGCCUUCAUGAUGA